GGGUGGUAAUGCCGGAUGUUCCACAUGAUCGCAUGUGAUUGUGGGAAAGAUUCUAUCGGCGUGGGAUGGGGUCGCGUCCUAUCAGCUUGUUGGUGAGGUAACGGCUCACCAAGGCUUCGACGGGUAGCCGGCCUGAGAGGGCGACCGGCCACAUUGGGACUGAGAUACGGCCAGACUCCUACGGGAGGCAGCAGUGGGGAAUAUUGCACAAUGGGCGCAAGCUGAUGCAGCGACGCCGCGUGAGGGAUGGAGGCCUUCGGGUUGUAAACCUCUUUUGUUUGGGAGCAAGCCUUCGGGUGAGUGUACCUUUCGAAUAAGCGCCGGCUAACUACGUGCCAGCAGCCGCGGUAAU
rnacentral:rRNA from 1 species